rnacentral:rRNA from 1 species
CAGCAGCCACGGUAAUACGAGGGGGGCAAGCGUUGUUCGGAAUUAUUGGGCGUAAAGGGUGCGUAGGCGGUUUGGCAAGUUUGGUGUGAAAUCUUUGGGCUCAACUCGAAGUCUGCAUCGAAAACUGCCGGGCUUGAGUAUGGGAGAGGUGAGUGGAAUUUCCGGUGUAGCGGUGAAAUGCGUAGAUAUCGGAAGGAACACCUGUGGCGAAAGCGGCUCACUGGACCAUAACUGACGCUGAUGCACGAAAGCUAGGGGAGCAAACAGGAUUAGAUACCCCAGUAGUCCCUGUCUCUUAUAU